rnacentral:rRNA from 1 species
GACAGAGGGGGCAAGCGUUGCUCGGAAUUACUGGGCGUAAAGGGCGCGUAGGCGGGAUGGCAAGUCGGUCGUGAAAUCCCUCGGCUCAACUGAGGAGCGUCGAUCGAAACUGCCGUUCUUGAGGGUUGCAGAGGAGACUGGAAUUCCCGGUGUAGCGGUGAAAUGUGUAGAGAUCGGGAGGAACACCGGUGGCGAAGGCGGGUCUCUGGGCAACUCCUGACGCUGAGGCGCGAAGGCCAGGGGAGCAAACGGG